rnacentral:rRNA from 1 species
UGGGGAAUAUUGGACAAUGGGCGCAAGCCUGAUCCAGCCAUGCCGCGUGAGUGAUGACGGCCUUAGGGUUGUAAAGCUCUUUCAACGGUGAAGAUAAUGACGGUAACCGUA